rnacentral:rRNA from 1 species
CCCUUAGAUGUCCUGAGCCGCACGCGCGUUACACUGAUGCAUUCAACGAGCAUAUAACCUUGGCCGAGAGGCCUGGGUAAUCUUGUUAACAUGCAUCGUGAUAGGGAUAGAUUAUUGCAAUUAUUAAUCUUGAACGAGGAAUUCCUAGUAAUCGCAGUUCAUCAAACUGCAAUGAUUACGUCCCUGCCCUUUGUACACACCGCCCGUCGCACCUACCGAUUGAAUGGUCCGGUGAGGACUCGGGAUUGUGGUUUAGCUCCUUCAUUGGGGCCUGACUGCGAGAACUUGUCCGAACCUUAUCAUUUAGAGGAAGGUGAAGUCGUAACA